rnacentral:rRNA from 1 species
AAAUUUUCCUGGCUUGCUUUGGACACGAUAUAUUCAAGAAUCAUAUCGUGAACUUUAAAGGAUUUUACCUUGCCGUUGCGGUUGUGAUCAACAGGGCGUAUUAUCUUCCUACUUAUGAGUUGAUUGAAGUAUGUUUCUGGGACCUCCUCUACUGUCAGACCUUGCUUCUCAGUGACAAAGCAUUCAGAUAUCCAUCUCCUGGUCAGGCGCUUCGUACAAAUCUUCAAACCCUUUAGAAAUAUGCUCAAGUACAAUGAGCAGGUCUUGAGAUCUGGAGGCAAAUCAUUGUAG